CCUACGGGUGGCAGCAGUGGGGAAUAUUGCACAAUGGGGGAAACCCUGAUGCAGCGACGCCGCGUGAGGGAUGAAGGACUUCGGUACGUAAAGCUCUAUCAGCAGGGAAGAAGGAAGACUGUGCUUGUCUACGGUGCCUCGGCUAACUACGGAACAGCAGCAGCGGUAAUACGGAGGGGGCAAGCGUGAACCGGAUUUACGGGGAGUAAGGUGAUCGUAGUUGGUAGUGCAAGUCUGGUGUGAAAGCCCAGGGCGCAACGCUGGGACUGCCUUGGAAACUGGGGAACUAGAGUGCUGGAGAGGAAAGUGGAAUUCCUGGUGUAGCGGUGAAAUGCGUAGAUAUCAGGAGGAACAUCAGUGGCGAAGGCGACUUACUGGAAAGUAACUGACGUUGAGGAUCGAAAGCGUGGGUAGCAAACAGGAUUAGAUACCCCAGUAGUC
rnacentral:rRNA from 1 species